rnacentral:rRNA from 1 species
GGCGGCGUUUCUUAGGCAUGCAAGUCGAACGAAUCCCAAUCGCUGUAGCAAUACAGUGGUUGGGUGAACUGGCGAAAGGGGCAGUAAGGCAUGGGUAACCUACCCUGGAGACGAGGAUAGCCAUCCUAACGGAUGGAUAAUACUCGGCGACGUGACGAGGAGGCAUCUUCUUGUCACCAAAUGAAUUUCGCUCCGGGAGGGGCUCAUGUAGUAUUAGCUAGUUGGUGAGGUAACGGCCCACCAAGGCAAAGAUGCUUAGCGGGUGUGAGAGCACGACCCGCGCCACUGGCACUGAGACACUGGCCAGACUCCUACGGGAGGCAGCAGU